AUUGAACGCUGGCGGCAUGCCUUACACAUGCAAGUCGAACGGCAGCACGGGAGCAAUCCUGGUGGCGAGUGGCGAACGGGUGAGUAAAGUAUCGGAACGUGCCCAGUCGUGGGGGAUAACGUAGCGGAAGUUACGCUAAUACCGCAUACGAUCUAUGGAUGAAAGCGGGGGAUCGCAAGACCUCGCGCGAUUGGAGCGGUCGAUAUCAGAUUAGGUAGUUGGUGGGGUAAAGGCCUACCAAGCCGACGAUCUGUAGCUGGUCUGAGAGGACGACCAGCCACACUGGGACUGAGACACGGCCCAGACUCCUACGGGAGGCAGCAGUGGGGAAUUUUGGACAAUGGACGAAAGUCUGAUCCAGCCAUUCCGCGUGCAGGAUGAAGGCCUUCGGGUUGUAAACUGCUUUUGUACGGAACGAAAAGGCUCUGGUUAAUACCUGGAGCUCAUGACGGUACCGUAAGAAUAAGCACCGGCUAACUACGUGCCAGCAGCCGCAGUAACAC
rnacentral:rRNA from 1 species